UGGAAGUAAAAAAUCGUAACAAGGUCUCCGUUGGUGAACCAGCGGAGGGAUCAUUACCGAGUUUACAACUCCCAAACCCAAUGUGAACCAUACCAAACUGUUGCCUCGGCGGGGUCACGCCCCGGGUGCGUCGCAGCCCCGGAACCAGGCGCCCGCCGGAGGGACCAACCAAACUCUUUUCUGUAGUCCCCUCGCGGACGUUAUUUCUUACAGCUCUGAGCAAAAAUUCAAAAUGAAUCAAAACUUUCAACAACGGAUCUCUUGGUUCUGGCAUCGAUGAAGAACGCAGCGAAAUGCGAUAAGUAAUGUGAAUUGCAGAAUUCAGUGAAUCAUCGAAUCUUUGAACGCACAUUGCGCCCGCCAGUAUUCUGGCGGGCAUGCCUGUCCGAGCGUCAUUUCAACCCUCGAACCCCUCCGGGGGGUCGGCGUUGGGGACCUCGGGAGCCCCUAAGACGGGAUCCCGGCCCCGAAAUACAGUGGCGGUCUCGCCGCAGCCUCUCCUGCGCAGUAGUUUGCACAACUCGCACCGGGAGCGCGGCGCGUCCACGUCCGUAAAACACCCAACUUCUGAAAUGUUGACCUCGGAUCAGGUAGGAAUACCCGCUGAACUUAAGCAUAUCAAUAGGCCGGAGGAA
rnacentral:rRNA from 1 species